GUAAGGUAGUGGCCUACCAAGGUUAUAACGGGUAACGGGGAAUCAGGGUUCGAUUCCGGAGAGGGAGCCUGAGAAACGGCUACCACAUCCAAGGAAGGCAGCAGGCGCGCAAAUUACCCAAUCCAGACACUGGGAGGUGGUGACGAGAAAUACCGGGUCGUGCCCAAAAGGUUUCGACACUGGAAUGAGUGCAAUUUAAAAAUUUCAACGAGUAACAACUGGAGGGCAAGUCUGGUGCCAGCAGCCGCGGUAAUUCCAGCUCCAGUAGUGUAUCUUAAAGUUGCUGCGGUUAAAACGCUCGUAGUUGGACAAGAGAGUGAUCAAGUGCGGGCGGGGAGUAAGCCUACUCUGUACUGGCUAGGAUGGCUGGGUUGCAUCUACGGAUGUUAGCUUGGCUGUCUGACUGCUGGGCAGAAGUACUACUUGUCGACCAUGCUGCUUGGUUACUUGUUUGUUCGUGAGAAUAUCAUAUGGCCUUAACUGUGCUGUGUGAUGUAUCUUACGUAGUGUGCCUUGAAUAAAUCAGAGUGCUCAAAGCAAGCUUACGCUUGAAUGUUAAUAGCAUGGAACGAAUGUUUUGUGAAAGCACAAGUAGUGAAGUAUUCGUACUAUCGCUACUUGUGCAGCACCAACUCCGAAUCGGAACAUUGGUAGCCGAAUUCGGGUGAUGAUUAAGAGGGGCAUUUGGGGGCAUUAGUAUUUGGACGCGAGAGGUGAAAUUCUUGGACCGUCCAAGGACUAACAAGUGCGAAAGCAUCUGCCAAGUAUGUUCCCUUUAAUCAAGAACGAAAGUGAGAGGUUCGAAGACGAUCAGAUACCGUCCUAGUUCUCACCGUAAACGAUGCCAACCCGGGAUCAGCUCGGAUGGUAAAUUGUGGAUCCAG
rnacentral:rRNA from 1 species